UGGGGAAUAUUGGACAAUGGGGGCAACCCUGAUCCAGCGAUGCCGCGUGGGUGAAGAAGGCCUUCGGGUUGUAAAGCCCUUUAGGUUGGGACGAAGUGCAGGAGGUUAAUACCCUUCUGUGUUGACGGUACCGACAGAAUAAGCACCGGCAAACUCUGUGCCAGCAGCCGCGGUAAUACAGAGGGUGCAAGCGUUAAUCGGAGUUACUGGGCGUAAAGGGCGCGUAGGCGGUUAAGUGAGUGUGAUGUGAAAGCCCCGGGCUUAACCUGGGAAGUGCAUCGCAAACGACUUAUCUGGAGUAUAAGAGAGGGUGGCGGAAUUUCCGGUGUAGCGGUGAAAUGCGUAGAGAUCGGAAGGAACGUCAAUGGCGAAGGCAGCCACCUGGCUUAAUACUGACGCU
rnacentral:rRNA from 1 species